rnacentral:tRNA from 1 species
GGGGGUGUAGCUCAUAUGGUAGAGCGCUCGCUUCGCAUGCGAGAGGCAGGGGGUUCGACUCCCCGCACCUCCA